rnacentral:rRNA from 1 species
GAUGAACGCUGGCGGCGUGCCUAAUACAUGCAAGUCGAGCGAACGGACGAGAAGCUUGCUUCUCUGAUGUUAGCGGCGGACGGGUGAGUAACACGUGGAUAACCUACCUAUAAGACUGGGAUAACUUCGGGAAACCGGAGCUAAUACCGGAUAAUAUUUUGAACCGCAUGGUUCAAAAGUGAAAGACGGUCUUGCUGUCACUUAUAGAUGGAUCCGCGCUGCAUUAGCUAGUUGGUAAGGUAACGGCUUACCAAGGCAACGAUGCAUAGCCGACCUGAGAGGGUGAUCGGCCACACUGGAACUGAGACACGGUCCAGACUCCUACGGGAGGCAGCAGUAGGGAAUCUUCCGCAAUGGGCGAAAGCCGGACGGAGCAACGCCGAGUGAGUGAUGAAGGUCUUCGGAUCGUAAAACUCUGUUAUUAGGGAAGAACAUAUGUGUAAGUAACUGUGCACAUCUUGACGGUACCUAAUCAGAAAGCCACGGCUAACUACGUG